rnacentral:rRNA from 1 species
GAUGAACGCUGGCGGCGUGCCUAACACAUGCAAGUCGAACGGAAAGGUCCUGCUCUUGUGGGGGGCUCGAGUGGCGAACGGGUGAGAAACACGCGUGUAACCUCCCCUUGACUUCCGGAUAACAUCAGGAAACUGGGGCUAAUACCGGAUAGGAGCUCUUGCUGCAUGGUGGGGGUUGGAAAGCUGCGGUGGUUGGGGAUGGACUAGCGGCUUAUCAGCUUGUUGGUGGGGUAGUGGCUUACCAAGGCUUCGACGGGUAGGCGGCCUGAGAGGGGUGCCGGCCACAUUAGGACUGAGAUACGGCCCAGACUCCUACGGGAGGCAACGGUGGAGAGUAGUACAGAGUAGGCGGGAGCCAGGUGCGACGACGCCGCGUGCGGGAAGACGGGCUUCGGGUUGUGAACCAAUGUCGCCUGUGCCAGGGAGUGAGUGACGGUAAUUGAUAAGGAAGCCCCGGCUAACUACGUG